CCUCUGCUCAACUCUCAACCGUUCAGAACAUAGGAAUUAAAUAUAGUUUCUGCUAACAGUGCGUUUUUCAAUGAAAUGUGUUCAUAAAGCAGUCAAAAUCGAUUUGAUAUAAUUUUAUUGUAAUAAUUUUAUAUGCCGUUUUUUUCUAUAAAUUUUGUAAUAUUUAAAUUACGUGAUAUACUGUAGGCUGUAAUCGAGGCGAAUGCUUAUCAAAGUUAAUUGCAACGGGAAAGUCCUCAUUUGAUAGCGAGCUGAUUACUGGUGUGUCCUUGAUGUUACACAUUGGCAUUUGGGAAUGUUAAAUGUCCAGCCCAAAAGCCUCAGACGUGGAGCAUGUCCUUAGGCCGACAAGAUGAAGAAAAAUGCACGGUUCAGCAAAACGGAUGUGAGCACAGAAUACAGGUGUCAGCCAGAAGAGGGCACACAGACACUUUCAUUCCUUUUGACUGCCGUCAUCAGUCAUCAGCCAGAAAUAAUGACUUGUCAAAACAUGUAAUUGCUUUAAUACAUUUAAGUUGUGGUUUUCACGAAUAACUACCCUAAUGUCUUAUUUCAGAGAUUUGCUGCCAAUCGAAUGUGCAUUUGGAAAAAAUGCAGUAUAACUGAAGUACCACACCUGUCUGGUAAAAAAAAAAACCUACCAUUUAGUCAGAUUUGUUGAGAAAUUAUACUCUAUUUCCAGCACCAUUCA